GUGGGUUAAAGUUAGUCCACUGUUUUAACCAAUCAGAGAGCAGCAUUUCGAUUGCGGAAAAGUUUGCUGCAAGAAAAAAGUUUUUUGGACAGAGACGAGAUUCGGUGUGAUCGGCUUAUCUAAAGCUUCAUAUUUCACGACUUCGACCGAGAUUCAACAGACCAUACAUACUCGGCAGAUUGUGCUCAAUCAAGACAAAGCAAACAUGGCUCACAAUUUUGAACUGCUGUGCCGUCUUGCAAGAGAGUGAGAUUCAGCAACACAUAGAAAGACCACAGCAUGGAUUAAGAGACAGGAAGAAUCCAUUUGAAUACUACGAC